UCUCGACAUUCUUCUCUUGGCCGACGAAGAUAUGUUUAUUCUAUCAUCUUCAUCUUCUCUAGGGUAUUACUUAAUUAUCUUUUUUUUGUUGGUGAAGGUUUUGAAGUGAUGGGGUCUCUUGUUCGUGAAUGGGUCGGAUCUCAGCAAUUUCCAGCGGCUACCCGAGAAAAGUUAGGUGAAUUCUUCGGCAAAUUGAAGCCAAAGGAUAUAAACACUAUGACAGUUCUAGUUCUGGGCAAAGGCGGUGUCGGAAAAUCAUUCACUGACAAUUCUCUUUCGGCGUACAUGUCGUCCGUGUCAGUCCUUUCCAGCUACUACAGCUGCUAAUGAAAGCUUCACAAGACAAGAAGUUUGUGUGUGAGGAGGCAGACAAAGCACUGAAUACGAACUCAGUGGCUCGCUGAAUUAUAGAUGGCGGGGGGUUUGAAUCAUCUUGCUAAGUCUUGUCCACAUGUUUGGGUUGAUGUGUUUGCCCUCUUGAAUGUGCUCUUUCUCCACCGCCUCCUGACGCUAGCUUUGAUGGCUCUGCUGAGAACAAUGGUGUAAAUGGAACUCUGACCUUGGAGGAGAAGCUUGAACUGGUAGAUGGAUCUACUGAUGUGGUUCAGGACUUGCCUGAUGGGGAUGGUGAGCAGAAGCAGCAAGGUCUUGAUGGCGUUCAGGAAGCUGACGGUACGCAAGCGAAGAGUAAUGAUGCUUUCUCAGCUUUUGAAAUAUUAAAGAAGAUGAUACGUUCAGGUGUUGAAAUCAAGCAGUUGUACUUCAAAUAUUCUCAGCUCUUGUAUUUUAUUCUUAAAAUUCCUAAUGGGGUUCA